AUGAGGAAGUGACAGAGAGAGGGAAGGGGGUGACUAGUGACAGAGUGAGAGAGGGGGUGACUAGUGAUAGAGUGAGGGAGGGGGUGACUGUCACUAGUCACCCCAUCCCUCUCUCUGUCACUAGUCACUCCCUCCUAACUCUGUCACUGUGUCACC